GACGAACGCUGGCGGCGUGCUUAACACAUGCAAGUCGAACGAAGUGGCGAACGGGUGAGUAACGCGUCAUCAACCUGCCCUUCAGCGGGGGACAACAGUUGGAAACGACUGCUAAUACCGCAUACUGAAGGAGGGGAUUGCGUCGGGUUGGCUAGUUGGGGGGGUAACGGCCCACCAAGGCGAUGAUCAGUAGGCGGUGUGGGAGGAUGAACGGCCACAUUGGGAAUGGGAAAAGGCCCAGACUCCUACGGGAGGCAGGAGUGGGGAAACUUCCGCAAUGGACGAAAGGCUGACGGAGGAAAGCCGGGUGAGGGAAGACAGCCUUCGGGUUGUAAAGCUAUGUUAAUCGGGACGCGGUACCGGAAUAGAAAGCAACGGCUAACUACGUGCCAGCAGCCGCGGUAAUAC
rnacentral:rRNA from 1 species